UACGUAGGCAGCGAGCGUUGUUCGGAGUUACUGGGCGUAAAGGGUGUGUAGGCGGUUGUUUAAGUUUGGUGUGAAAUCUCCCGGCUCAACUGGGCGGGUGCGCCGAAUACUGAAUGACUUGGAGUGCGGGAGAGGAGAGUGGAAUUCCUGGUGUAGCGGUGAAAUGCGUAGAUAUCAGGAGGAACACCGGUGGUGUAGACGGCUCUCUGGACCGUAACUGACGCUGAGACACGAAAGCGUGGGUAGCAAACAGG
rnacentral:rRNA from 1 species